rnacentral:rRNA from 1 species
GUUACGAUUUGUUGCAAGGUUAAGCGGAAAAAGCGGAGCCGUAGCGAAAGCGAGUCUGAAUAGGGCGCAUAAGUAACAGGUCGUAGACCCGAAACCAGGUGAUCUACCCAUGUCCAGGAUGAAGGUAAGGUAAUACUUACUGGAGGUCCGAACCCACGCACGUUGAAAAGUGCGGGGAUGAGGUGUGGGUAGCGGAGAAAUUCCAAUCGAACUUGGAGAUAGCUGGUUCUCUCCGAAAUAGCUUUAGGGCUAGCCUCGAGGUAAAGAGUCAUGGAGGUAGAGCACUGUUUGGACUAGGGGCCCUUCUCGGGUUACCGAAUUCAGAUAAACUCCGAAUGCCAUGUACUUAUACUCGGGAGUCAGACUGCGAGUGAUAAGAUCCGUAGUCGAAAGGGAAACAGCCCAGACCACCAGUUAAGGUCCCCAAAUAUAUGUUAAGUGGAAAAGGAUGUGGGGUUGCUUAGACAACCAGGAUGUUGGCUUAGAAGCAGCCACCAUUGAAAGAGUGCGUAAUAGCUCACUGGUCGAGUGACCCCGCGCCGAAAAUGUACCGGGGCUAAACAUAUUACCGAAACUGUGGAUGAACCUCUUUAGAGGUUCGUGGUAGGAGAGCGUUCUAAGGGCGGUGAAGUCAGACCGGAAGGACUGGUGGAGCGCUUAGAAGUGAGAAUGCCGGUAUGAGUAGCGAAAGAAGGGUGA